rnacentral:rRNA from 1 species
GAUUUCUGGUGUGGUGCGCCGAGCCCGCCACUUUUGGUGGCGAGUGCUUGUUGUGCGCCUACCAUCCUUCUGGAUAGCGUGCUCUACCCUUUACUGGGCCGGAGUACGUGAUCUAGAUCUUUUACUUUGAAAAAAUUAGAGUGUUUAAAGCAGGCUUAUGCUAUGAAUACAUUAGCAUGGAAUAAUAAGAUAGGACUUUGGUUCUAUUUUGUUGGUUUCUAGGACUGAAGUAAUGAUUGAUAGGGACAGUUGGGGGUGCUAGUAUUUAACGGCCAGAGGUGAAAUUCUUGGAUUCGUUAAAGACUAACUUAUGCGAAAGCAUU